rnacentral:misc_RNA from 1 species
GAAAUCACCACUGGCGGCAAGGCCUUCAAGAGAUUUGAAAUCUCAUUCACAACAGAGUCAAAAUUAAAACGCACUAUAGUAACUUCUCCACAUGAGACAAAAUUAGACUUUAAUAUCCAUGGAAGAAAAAAUGAAGACUGAAUAACAUAACAAAAAGAACAAGAUGGAUAGAAGUAUGGCCUACCAAUGGAUUCAGCAUCCUCUCUA